AAAGAUUUAUCAAGAAAGAUGAGGUGGAAUUGAGAGGUAUAUAUGCAAUUAACAGUAUAGACAAAUUAUAUUGAAUAUCUUUUUUUCUUUAAUAUGCCCUUUUAUAAAUAUUUCUGUUUAAUCUUCUCUCACAUCUGGAGACAUUCUAGCAUUUAAGGGAAUAGUAGCCACUACCACCUUGUUUUCAAAGCCCAAAUGAAUUUGGGAAUGUGGUAUUUGCUUAAGAGCUUCCAUCACUUUGUGAACACAUGACUCCAUGAUCUGCCAAAAGCACUUUGGGACAAACACCGCAGAGUCAGGAGAUCUUUCUUAAUACCAUCUGACAACUACUUUUUGCUUACUUUUUGCCCUACCUCCUAAAAGUUUAGAUGGGCAGAUGGGAAGAGCAGGGGACACAUGAUUGAGUGUCAACAUUCUCAUGUCAGAGUACUAUGGCAGGCCUGGAGCAAUAUCUGGAAUGUCCAAAGGUAAUCCUAACAAUCCCAAGGGUCACAGGGCAUCACUUUCCUCUGCUUCGCUCUCUCUGUGUGUCUCUGUAAGCCAGUCCAAUUUUAUAUUACAUUUCCACUAAGUACUAUAUUCUAAAUUCAGCUUAUCUAGAGAGAUGAUAUGUUUGGUUCAGUAUGGGUCAGUGAUGCCCUAUGUUGUAGGCAGAAUAAUGGCCCUCAAAUACAUCUACCCCUAAUCCCUGGAAUCUAGGAAUAUGUUGCUUUACAUGGCAAAAAAUGGAUUUUGGAAAUGGGAUUCAGUUAAAGGUCUUGAGGUGGGAAGAUUAGCUUGGAUUAUCCAGGUGAACCUAAUUUAAUCAUAUGGCUUCCUAAAAUUGGAGAGCUUUUCCAGGCUCUGGUGAAAGAUGAAGAUGUGUCUACCCAUAGAUGGUAGAUGGCCAUGUUUCCAACAGAGAUAUGUCAAUUUUCUAUUGCCGAUGUAACAAAUUACCACAAGUGCUCUUGGACGGUUAGUGAAAGUCAAGGACUGGCAUCUCUAAUAUACUUAUAUAGGUAACGGUGAGUAGUGUGGAGAUGUGACUCCAAAGCCUAGAGAAGGACAAGCCAGCGUCUCUGCAAGAGAUACAGCUGUCUCCUUUUCCUCCAGAGGUCCAUAAUUUACAUGGAAACAAGAAAGAGUAUUGUAACUGGCAGAAAUUAUCUUCAGUUCAAAGCUUUCAUUUUGGUGUUAAAUAACUUGGCAAAAUUUUUAAAAAAUUAUUUUAAAAAUUGCUAAAAAAUAUGCAACAUUUCAUGUAUGUGCCUAAAUAGCAAACUUUAAAGCAUGUUUGGGGCUGAGGUGCCAAAUGAAGAGCGGGAGAGGGACUUCAAUGGCAAUAAAUAGAACUUGAGAAUGGAAUAGAUACUCUGUAGAAUAUUACAAUGAAUAGAAUACAUUUUAAGUUCCUAGAGCAAUAUUUGAAAAUCCCACAUUCAAAGCCAUCUAUUCCUAUUCAAUUAACAUUUCAUUUUGAUUUUGGGACUGAAGCCAAAGAUGUCCAGGUAGCUAAAAUGCUUGCUGAACUGGCUGUGGCCAUGGAGCCUGGAAUCCUGCCAAGAAGAGCAUGUGUGAGAGAGCACAAUGUUUACAUUCCUCCUGAGAAGGGAGUUGGGAAAUAAUCUAAAAAGCUCAAUCCAAAAGCAAAGAUGUUCCAUCCAGUCUUGUUUGUUUAAGCCAAACUAGAAACCAUCUGAAUGUUCCACAAAUGUUUUGAUGAUUUAUUGAUGUAUUUUAAAUUAUCUGGUAAUGUGCUUGGCAGAGGCUUAAAAGUGCAAUUACUGAGAUGAUGUAGAAAUACCAAGUGUUUAAUAAAACAAUACAGAGUAAUACAAGUGGUAUGGUUGUUACAAUAUAAAAACAUCUAACAGCUAAACAGUUCUUUAAUUGUAGAGAUUUUCUUCAUUUUCAAAGUUAAAAAUAUAAAUUUUUGUAAAAAAUACAAAUGAUUACUAUCCAUAUCUAAUGUUUAUGGAGUGCUGACUGCUCACUUUUGUGCAUGCAUUGCCUCAUUUAGUGCAACAUUUAGCAUUAACUUUUGAGGUAGAUACCAUUGCCAUGCACUUUGUAUAGAUGAAGACAUUGAGGUUUAGAGAGAUUGCAUAAAUUUCCCAAUGGAACACAGCUGGUGGUGGAGCCAGGAUUCUAGGAAGCCUAUCUCUGGAGUUUAGUAACCUAAAUAAUGAUAAUAGCUAAUAUCCUAGUCACUCAGCAUGUGCCAGCUGCUGUUCCAAAUGCUUCACAUUUGUCCACUCAUGUAAACCUCAGAAUAACUCCAUGAGUUUUCUUAUAGAAGACACAUGGCCAGCUGCCAACACUCUGGGGCCCAAGGAGCUCAUUGAAAAUCCAAUUAUAAUAGCCACUUGGGAGAAAAAAGGCAAUAUCCAGGACUACCCAGCCAGCAAGAAGCCGGAAGCCUCAGUCCCAUAGCCACCAGGAAAUGAAUUCUGGCAACAGCAAUGUCAGCAAUGCCAGCCUGAAAGAGGGCCCCAAGCUCCAGAAAGGAACACAGGCCAGCCAAUACUGUUGAGGUCCCAGUUGGAGCAACUAGUUCAGCUGUUGCCAGAUUUUUGGCCUGCAGAAACCAUAAGAGAAUAGACGGUGUUCAUUCAAGCCAAUAAUUAUGUGGUAGUUUGUUACUCAGAAAUAUAAAACUAACAUACAUGUGAAGAAAUGUUUUAUAUAAUAAACCACCUU